GCACUUCUGAUGAGUCCCACAAUAGGAUGAAACGGCCGUCCAGUGC
rnacentral:hammerhead_ribozyme from 1 species